rnacentral:rRNA from 1 species
AAUACAUGCAAGUCGAGCGGACAGAUGGGAGCUUGCUCCCUGAUGUUAGCGGCGGACGGGUGAGUAACACGUGGGUAACCUGCCUGUAAGACUGGGAUAACUCCGGGAAACCGGGGCUAAUACCGGAUGCUUGUUUGAACCGCAUGGUUCAGACAUAAAAGGUGGCUUCGGCUACCACUUACAGAUGGACCCGCGGCGCAUUAGCUAGUUGGUGAGGUAACGGCUCACCAAGGCGACGAUGCGUAGCCGACCUGAGAGGGUGAUCGGCCACACUGGGACUGAGACACGGCCCAGACUCCUACGGGAGGCAGCAGUAGGGAAUCUUCCGCAAUGGACGAAAGUCUGACGGAGCAACGCCGCGUGAGUGAUGAAGGUUUUCGGAUCGUAAAGCUCUGUUGUUAGGGAAGAACAAGUGCCGUUCAAAUAGGGCGGCACCUUGACGGUACCUAACCAGAAAGCCACGGCUAACUACGUGCCAGCAGCCGCGGUAAUACGUAGGUGGCAAGCGUUGUCCGGAAUUAUUGGGCGUAAAGGGCUCGCAGGCGGUUUCUUAAGUCUGAUGUGAAAGCCCCCGGCUCAACCGGGGAGGGUCAUUGGAAACUGGGGAACUUGAGUGCAGAAGAGGAGAGUGGAAUUCCACGUGUAGCGGUGAAAUGCGUAGAGAUGUGGAGGAACACCAGUGGCGAAGGCGACUCUCUGGUCUGUAACUGACGCUGAGGAGCGAAAGCGUGGGGAGCGAACAGGUAUUAGAUACCCUGGUAGUCCACGCCGUAAACGAUGAGUGCUAAGUGUUAGGGGGUUUCCGCCCCUUAGUGCUGCAGCUAACGCAUUAAGCACUCCGCCUGGGGAGUACGGUCGCAAGACUGAAACUCAAAGGAAUUGACGGGGGCCCGCACAAGCGGUGGAGCAUGUGGUUUAAUUCGAAGCAACGCGAAGAACCUUACCAGGUCUUGACAUCCUCUGACAAUCCUAGAGAUAGGACGUCCCCUUCGGGGGCAGAGUGACAGGUGGUGCAUGGUUGUCGUCAGCUCGUGUCGUGAGAUGUUGGGUUAAGUCCCGCAACGAGCGCAACCCUUGAUCUUAGUUGCCAGCAUUCAGUUGGGCACUCUAAGGUGACUGCCGGUGACAAACCGGAGGAAGGUGGGGAUGACGUCAAAUCAUCAUGCCCCUUAUGACCUGGGCUACACACGUGCUACAAUGGACAGAACAAAGGGCAGCGAAACCGCGAGGUUAAGCCAAUCCCACAAAUCUGUUCUCAGUUCGGAUCGCAGUUGCAACUCGACUGCGUGAAGCUGGAAUCGCUAGUAAUCGCGGAUCAGCAUGC